ACUUCUGUUCCUCCCCGCCCUGGUGCUGCUCCGGGUCACAUACUCGUCCUGAGCCGGCUUCAGCCUCUCCGCGCAGAAGUCUCCCGGAGCCGACUUCUGAGAGUCGAGUACUCCUAUGUGAAGACUACCAAGCUCGUGUUCAAGGGAACCAAGGCGAAGAGGUGGGUCCUGCAGCUCUGGCGGGAGCCUUCUCAGUUCUUUUCGGACGCACUCCACCCCCGCGAAUCCGGUGGAAGUCGUGCCGCGGAGAGCUGGCUUUGUGGCAUCCCAGGCUUCGCCCUGGCGCCUGUCCGGGCUGGAUGGAGGCCAGAUAGCGGUUCCUGGCGCCUGUGCAGAGAGGGGCAGCCUCCCGCGCGGACGACCCUGGAAACAGGAUAGACGGGCGGGUGACCCGUGGCCCCGUACCCACGAGUUUGGGUCCCCUGAGGCAUCUCUCCAGGCCUCUGCCUGGCGAGAUGGAAAGAAAGUAUCAAGGAGUGAGCUGAAGCCACUGCCCUUGAGAACCCUCUCGAGGAGUCUGGGCUCAUGAGGAUGCCAGAAUAAGUGGCAGGUAUAUCCUGAAUGAAUGUGAGAUUUUUACUCUGUGAAUUUCCUGUGAGGAGUGUAAGAAGAAAAAGAACAAAGAUAAGAAAAGAAAAAGAGAAGAAGAUGAAGAAACCCAGCUUGAUAUGUUGGAAUCUGGUGGACAGUAACAAACUUUGGUGAAAUUUCAGGAACCAUAGCCAUUGAAAUGGAUGAGGGAACCUAUAUACAUGCACUCGAUAAUGGUCUUUUUACCCUGGGAGCUCCACACAAAGAAGUUGAUGAGGGCCCUAGUCCUCCAGAGCAGUUUUCGGCUGUCAAAUUAUCUGAUUCCAGAAUCACCCUGAAAUCUGGCUAUGGAAAAUAUCUUGGUAUAAAUUCAGAUGAACUUGUUGUUGGGCGUUCAGAUGCAAUUGGACCAAGAGAACAAUGGGAACCAGUCUUUAAAAUUGGGAAAAUGGCUUUGUCGACCUCAAAUAGCUGCUUUAUUAGAUACAGUGAAGCAGAGGACAUAGAAGCAAAAAGUAAAACAGCAGGAGAAGAAGAAAUGAUCAAGAUUAGAUCCUGUGCUGAAAGAGAAACCAAGAAAAAAGAUGACAUUCCAGAAGAAGACAAAGGAAAUAUAAAACAAUGUGAAAUCAA
ensembl:lncRNA novel transcript